CGCGUCGGAACUCCGGCGAGCUCCGACAAUGACGAAAAACAGAGAGAACCUGACCGCGGCAACGUUUUCAAUGAUGCCUCGUCGGAAAGACCUCACUCUCUGCCGUAACUCUCCCUCUCUUGCUCGUUUUCUCUAUCUCAAUUCUCCCUCGAUUCACUCUCUGAAAUAAUCUCUUUUCUCUACUCUUGAUUUUCCCACUGACGAUCUUCUCCCCCAGUUCCCUCUCUACUCUCUCGAUUUCUACUCCCUGUGUGUGUGUUUUCAAAUUUCCAGUGAAUGUAUUCUCACUAAUACCCCCAUCGCUGUGUUGUUGCUGUGUAUAUCUUGUAGUGUGUAUUUCAAUGGAGAAUUGGAGUGUAUU
rnacentral:lncRNA from 1 species